rnacentral:rRNA from 1 species
UACGAAGGGUGCAAGCGUUAAUCGGAAUUACUGGGCGUAAAGGGUGCGUAGGCGGUUCGUUAAGUCUGUCGUGAAAUCCCCGGGCUCAACCUGGGAAUGGCGAUGGAUACUGGCGAGCUAGAGUGUGUCAGAGGAUGGUGGAAUUCCCGGUGUAGCGGUGAAAUGCGUAGAGAUCGGGAGGAACAUCAGUGGCGAAGGCGGCCAUCUGGGACAACACUUACGCUGAAGCACGAAAGCGUGGGGAGCAAACAGG